GAUGAAGAACGCAGCGAAAUGCGAUACGUAAUGUGAAUUGCAGAAUUCAGUGAAUCAUCGAAUCUUUGAACGCAUAUUGCGCUCUCUGGUAUUCCGGAGAGCAUGCUUGUUUGAGUAUCAGUAAACACCUCAACUCCCUUUUCUUUUUUGAAAUUGGAGCUGGACUUGAGUGAUCCCAACGCUUUCUUCCAAGAAAGUGGCGGGUUGCUUGAAAUGCAGGUGCAGCUGAACUUUUCUCUGAGCUAUAAGCAUAUCUAUUUAGUCUGCCUAAAAAACAGAUUAUUACCUUUGCUGCAGCUAACAUAAAGGAGACUAGUUCUUGUGCUGACUGAUGCAGGAUUCACAGAGACAGCUUCGGAUGACUUUGUAAACUCGAUCUCAAAUCAAGUAAGACUACCCGCUGAACUUAAGCAUAUCAAUAAGCGGAGGA
rnacentral:misc_RNA from 1 species